rnacentral:piRNA from 1 species
UAAAUGUCAAUUGUGUGCCC